rnacentral:rRNA from 1 species
AUGUAUAUGGACAUUCAGCAGAACAUUGUACGCCAUCUGCAUGAUGACGACGUAAAGGAGGAAUUCAGAUCUUUCAUUUAUGAUACUUCUUCCAUUGAAGAGCAUGAGAUAAAAUGGAUACAAUUCUUACAACGGAAUAAAGUAACCAGUGAGGAGUCUUGGCUGCAUCAGAUGUAUCAGAUGAGAAAGUUGUGGUGUGCUCCAUAUCUUGAGGGGCAUUCUUUCCUAGGAUUGAGCAGCAAUCAGAGGAGUGAGAGCUUGAACUCUGUGCUACAUACGCAUCUUGAGGGUAAGAUGUCGUUGUUUGAAAUGCUAGAGCACUAUGAGCGUUGCCUUGCGUCGCGACGGAUUAACGAAGCUCUCCAUGACGUCGAAGCCUUGCAGUCCAUUCCAUUUACAGAGGAAAAUGCUUCGCCGCUUGAGAAACAUGCCGCAACAGUUUUCACACCUAGUGUCUUUAAGAUGGUCUUAUGGAGCAUAGAUGCUGUCAGCAAAUGUCAGAUUAGAGAGAUACUAGAUGGAUCAGAAGAUUCCACUUAUGUUGUGUCCAAGCAGGAAAGAAUGGAUAAAAAGUUUGGAGUGCGCAUUGAAGAGCAAGGAGGUCUUUUGCACAGGGUGAGUUGUUCUUGCCGUAAGCUGGAAUGCGCAGGCACACCAUGUUCCCACAUUUUUUACAUAUUGGGGAUUUUAAAACAAACAAUUCUGCCCGGUUGUUGCGUUCCCACUAGGUGGACUAUGAAUGCAAAAUGUGCAUACGCACCUACCAGAAAAAACCAGAUGUAUGACUAUCCGGUAAGCCUGCAGAGGUACCGCGAGUUGCGGAAUUGUAGUCACGCCGCAAGUUUCCAGGCAUGCCACUCUGAUGAGGACUAUCGCCGUCUAAAGAUGCUUUUGCAAGCACAACAUCAUGGCAAGCAAUCAAGUUUUGAACAAGCUGACAGCAAGGAGUCAACUAAUGCUCAGCAUAACAGCAUUAGGUUUGGCCCGUUGAUGCCGCACUCGUAG